GAUCAUGGCUCAGGACGAACGCUGGCGGCGCGCCUAACACAUGCAAGUCGAACGAGCGAGAGAGAGCUUGCUUUCUCGAGCGAGUGGCGAACGGGUGAGUAACGCGUGAGGAACCUGCCUCAAAGAGGGGGACAACAGUUGGAAACGACUGCUAAUACCGCGUAAGACCACAGCCCCACAUGGGGCAGGGGUCAAAGGAGCAAUCCGGAUAAAGAUGGGCUCGCGUCCGAUUAG
rnacentral:rRNA from 1 species